UAGAAAUUAAAAAUAUAAAACAAAUCAAAGUCUGUAGGUAUCAAUCAUCUGGAUAUUAUUCAUCAUUAUCUGAGUAUAGUAUUCCUGGAAUAUUCAUAUAUUUUUUUUUUCAUUGAUUUUAGAGUUUGCGUAAAGCGCGCGUAUUUGCAUGUUAUUUACAUAUUUUAAUAUUAUGGAUAUUGGAUAACAUUGGAAACAAUCGGUAAUAAGG